rnacentral:sRNA from 1 species
CCCAAAAUGUGAUCAUAAGUGAAGAUAAAUGGAUUACUUGAGUGUUGAGACAAGAGGGACAUGCUCUUCUAUUUUAUGUGUCCAUCUUUACCUUUCUGAAAAAAUAAGAAUGUUGUAAUUAGCAUUCUAUGUUUGAAUCUGAGGCUCACUAUUUAUAAGCUGUGUGAUAAUGGGAGAGUUACCCGACUUCUCUGAGCCUCAGUUUUAUCAUUGGAAAACAGCAUAAAUGUACCAUAUUGUAAAGAUCUUGUUAGGAUUGAUCGUGGUGACUCGGUAGAUAAAGCUCCUAGUGUAAUGCCUGGCCCUCAUCAUCAUGUUCAUCAUUAUUAUCACUGUGUUUCUGAAAUGUCACUGAAACGUGUCUUUUAUAGGUGGAACAUAAAUAAUGAUACCUGGGUCAUAACUGAGCAACUAAAACCUUUAACAGUGAAUUUGGACUUCCGAAGAAACAACAAAACUGUCUUCAAGGCUUCAAGCUUUGCUGGCUAUGUGGGCAUGUUAACAGGAUUCAAACCAGUAAGGAGUCUGUUGUUACAUAAUUAUACGGGUAGCUUUUUGUCCUAUUACUGUUACGUAAAAGUUGAAAUCUAAGAAUAUGAGGACCUAAAGGGAAUAUGAAGCCCCAUUUCACCCCCUUGUACUUCUUGUCAGUAUGAGAUCUCGUGGUAGAGAAGAGUAGAAAGGAAAUGGAGGUUUCUGAGCCUGUUCUGGGAUAAAGAGCAUGUGGCCGGGUGUCAAGGGCUCGGAGUCACAAUCUGAUUUCUAGUCCUGGGUCUUCCGCUCACUUAGGCAAGUCAGGCGUUCAUUCUCUGCCCUUCAGUUUCCUGUCCAAAAAGCGUUGCCAGUGGUACCCCACCUACUUAUCUCACAUACUACAAUCAAAAAUGCUUCGAACUUUUUAAAAAGCCUUGCAUGGUUUUGAUUUAUUUUUGCCUUCCCCAUUACCCAAGCUAGGCCUUUAUAUCCCACUCCGAAGUACAGUGAGCGACAGGGCCUUAAAGCGCAUGGUUGAUGUUUCUGACUUCGUUGCUUUGUCUUUUUCUCAGGGACUGUUCAGUCUUACACUGAAUGAACGUUUCAGUAUAAAUGGUGGUUAUCUGGGUGUUCUAGAAUGGAUUUUGGGAAAGAAAGAUGCCAUGUGGAUAGGGUUCCUCACUAGAACAGUUCUGGAAAAUAGCACAAGUUAUGAAGAAGCCAAGAAUUUAUUGACCAAGACCAAGAUAUUGGCCCCAGCCUACUUUAUCCUGGGAGGCAACCAGUCGGGGGAAGGUUGUGUGAUUACACGAGACAGAAAGGAAUCAUUGGAUGUAUAUGAACUCGAUGCUAAGCAGGGUAGGUGGUAUGUGGUACAAACAAAUUAUGACCGUUGGAAACAUCCCUUCUUCCUUGAUGAUCGCAGAACGCCUGCCAAGAUGUGUCUGAACCGCACCACCCAAGAGAAUAUCUCAUUUGAAACCAUGUAUGAUGUCCUGUCAACAAAACCUGUCCUCAACAAGCUGACCGUAUUCACAACCUUGAUAGAUGUUACCAAAGGUCAAUUCGAAACUUACCUGCGGGACUGCCCUGACCCUUGUAUAGGGUGGUGAGCACACAUCUGGCCUACAGAAUGCGGCCUCUGAGACAUGAAGACACCAUCUCCAUGUGACCGAACACUGCAGCUGUCUGACCUUCCAAAGACUAAGACUCAGGGCAGGUUCUCUUUGAGUCACAAGCUUGUCUUCCUCCAUCUGUUGACAAUUGACAGACUUUUUUUUUCCCCCCAUCAGUUGAUUUUUCUUAUUUACAGAUACUUCUUUAGGAGAAGUAAAACAAUCAUCUAGAAUUCAUUGAGUUUUGUUUCACUUUGACAUUUGGGGAUCUGGUGGGCAGUCGAACCAUGGUGAGCUCCACCUCCGUGGAAUAAAUGGAGAUUCAGCGUGGGUAUUGAAUCCAGCACAUCUGUGUGAGUAACGGAACAGUAAACACUCCACAUUCUUCAGUUUUUCACUUUUACUUACUAUUUGUAUGUUUUUCUGUAUAACAGCCUUUUCCUUCUGAUUCUAACUACUGUUAAAAUUAAUAUGUCAUUAUCUUUGCUGUUAUUGACGGCAAUAUAAUUUUAUUACAUAUGAUUAGAGGGAUGAGACAGACAUUCACCUGUAUAUUUCUUUUAAUGGGCACAGAAUGGGCCUUUGACUCUAAAUAGCACUUUUUGGGGUUCAAGAAGUAAUCAGUAUGCAAAGCAGUCUUUUAUACAAUAAUUGAAGUGUUCCCUUUUUCAUAAUUACUCUACCUCCCAGUAACCCUAAGGAAGUUGCUAACUUAAAAAACCGCAUCCCAGAUUCUGUGAAUUUAGUACAUAAACAAGUCAAAGACUUGUGGAAAAUAGGAAGUGAACUCAUAUUUUAAAUUCUCAUAAGUAGCAUUCAUGUAAUAAACAGGUUUUUAGUUUGUUCUUCAGAUUGAUAGGUAGUUUUAAAGAAAUUUUAGUAGUUACUAAAAUUAUGUUACUUUAUUUUUCAGAAAUCAAACUACUUAUGAAAAUUACUAAUAGAACUUGUUAACCUUUCUAACCUUCACGAUUAACUGUGAAAUGUAUGCCAUUUGUGCAAGACCAUGUGUCCACUUCAUUUU